rnacentral:lncRNA from 1 species
GUCAGAUACGAUUUUACUCGGAUUUACACAUUAUUUGUCGGCGAUUUUCUGUAUAAAGCUAGCGGUUGAACAAAAUGAACAUCGCUAUCAUGAAUAAUAAUGAUGAAAAUAAGUUUUGAGAUCGUUUAUUAGGAGACUUUGGUAAAAAUGUUUGCAAAGUUAUUUUUUAUUUUCUUUCUUUCGGGCAUGUCAGGCGUAGCUAGUAACCAAGUAGAAAGUCCGACUGCAAAAGUGGAAGGUCGCAGAUCUCGGACCACUGCUAAUUUGAA